AGAGUUUGAUCCUGGCUCAGGAUGAACGCUGGCGGCGUGCCUAACACAUGCAAGUCGAGCGAUUUACUUCGGUAAAGAGCGGCGGACGGGUGAGUAACGCGUGGGUAACCUGCCCUGUACACACGGAUAACAUACCGAAAGGUAUGCUAAUACGAGAUAAUAUGGGAGAGUCGCAUGGCUUUCUUAUCAAAGUUUUUGCGGUACAGGAUGGACCCGCGUCUGAUUAGCUAGUUGGUAAGGUAACGGCUUACCAAGGCGACGAUCAGUAGCCGACCUGAGAGGGUGAUCGGCCACAUUGGAACUGAGACACGGUCCAAACUCCUACGGGAGGCAGCAGUGGGGAAUAUUGCACAAUGGGCGAAAGCCUGAUGCAGCAACGCCGCGUGAGCGAUGAAGGCCUUCGGGUCGUAAAGCUCUGUCCUCAAGGAAGAUAAUGACGGUACUUGAGGAGGAAGCCCCGGCUAACUACGUGCCAGCAGCCGCGGUAAUACGUAGGGGGCUAGCGUUAUCCGGAAUUACUGGGCGUAAAGGGUGCGUAGGCGGUCUUUCAAGUCAGGAGUGAAAGGCUACGGCUCAACCGUAGUAAGCUCUUGAAACUGUAAGACUUGAGUGCAGGAGAGGAGAGUAGAAUUCCUAGUGUAGCGGUGAAAUGCGUAGAUAUUAGGAGGAAUACCAGUUGCGAAGGCGGCUCUCUGGACUGUAACUGACGCUGAGGCACGAAAGCGUGGGGAGCAAACAGGAUUAGAUACCCUGGUAGUCCACGCCGUAAACGAUGAGUACUAGCUGUCGGAGGUUACCCCCUUCGGUGGCGCAGCUAACGCAUUAAGUACUCCGCCUGGGAAGUACGCUCGCAAGAGUGAAACUCAAAGGAAUUGACGGGGACCCGCACAAGUAGCGGAGCAUGUGGUUUAAUUCGAAGCAACGCGAAGAACCUUACCUAAGCUUGACAUCCUUUUGACCGAUGCCUAAUCGCAUCUUUCCCUUCGGGGACAGAAGUGACAGGUGGUGCAUGGUUGUCGUCAGCUCGUGUCGUGAGAUGUUGGGUUAAGUCCCGCAACGAGCGCAACCCUUGCCUUUAGUUGCCAUCAUUAAGUUGGGCACUCUAGAGGGACUGCCAGGGAUAACCUGGAGGAAGGUGGGGAUGACGUCAAAUCAUCAUGCCCCUUAUGCUUAGGGCUACACACGUGCUACAAUGGGUGGUACAGAGGGCAGCCAAACCGUGAGGUGGAGCUAAUCCCUUAAAGCCAUUCUCAGUUCGGAUUGUAGGCUGAAACUCGCCUACAUGAAGCUGGAGUUACUAGUAAUCGCAGAUCAGAAUGCUGCGGUGAAUGCGUUCCCGGGUCUUGUACACACCGCCCGUCACACCACGGAAGUUGGGGGCGCCCGAAGCCGGAUAGCUAACCUUUUGGAAGCGUCCGUCGAAGGUGAAAUCAAUAACUGGGGUGAAGUCGUAACAAGGUAGCCGUAUCGGAAGGUGCGGCUGGAUCACCU
rnacentral:rRNA from 1 species